GCCAUCAUGCACAUCUAUCUUAGUCUUGGCUGUGCUUAAGAAAGGACGUCCAAGUAGGAUGUCUGAAGUAGCGUUGCUAUUGUCUUCCUUUGUAUCAAUCACAUAAAAGUCUGCUGGGAAGACAAGUUCAUCUACUUGUACUAGAACAUCUUUUAGAACUCCUUUUGGAUACACCACUGAUCUGUCAGCCAACUGAAUCACUACUCU
rnacentral:lncRNA from 1 species